rnacentral:snRNA from 1 species
AGCUUUGCACAGUGGCAGUAUCAUAGCCAAUGAGGUUUAUCCGAGGCACGAUUAUUGCUAAUUAAAUAUCUCACAUAUUUAGGAUUUAAGUAGCUUUAAGCAGAAA